rnacentral:rRNA from 1 species
UGCAAGUCGAACGAUGAAGCCUUUCGGGGUGGAUUAGUGGCGAACGGGUGAGUAACACGUGGGCAAUCUGCCCUUCACUUCGGGACAAGCCCUGGAAACGGGGUCUAAUACCGGAUAAUACUUUUCUCCUCAUGGGGGGAAGUUGAAAGCUCCGGCGGUGAAGGAUGAGCCCGCGGCCUAUCAGCUAGUUGGUGGGGUAAUGGCCUACCAAGGCGACGACGGGUAGCCGGCCUGAGAGGGCGACCGGCCACACUGGGACUGAGACACGGCCCAGACUCCUACGGGAGGCAGCAGUGGGGAAUAUUGCACAAUGGGCGAAAGCCUGAUGCAGCGACGCCGCGUGAGGGAUGACGGCCUUCGGGUUGUAAACCUCUUUCAGCAGGGAAGAAGCGCAAGUGACGGUACCUGCAGAAGAAGCACCGGCUAACUACGUGCCAGCAGCCGCGGUAAUACGUAGGGUGCGAGCGUUGUCCGGAAUUAUUGGGCGUAAAGAGCUCGUAGGCGGCUUGUCACGUCGGUUGUGAAAGCCCGGGGCUUAACCCCGGGUCUGCAGUCGAUACGGGCAGGCUAGAGUGUGGUAGGGGAGAUCGGAAUUCCUGGUGUAGCGGUGAAAUGCGCAGAUAUCAGGAGGAACACCGGUGGCGAAGGCGGAUCUCUGGGCCAUUACUGACGCUGAGGAGCGAAAGCGUGGGGAGCGAACAGGAUUAGAUACCCUGGUAGUCCACGCCGUAAACGUUGGGAACUAGGUGUUGGCGACAUUCCACGUCGUCGGUGCCGCAGCUAACGCAUUAAGUUCCCCGCCUGGGGAGUACGGCCGCAAGGCUAAAACUCAAAGGAAUUGACGGGGGCCC